rnacentral:rRNA from 1 species
GUGGUUUAAUUCGAAGCAACGCGAAGAACCUUACCUACUCUUGACAUCCAGAGAACUUUCCAGAGAUGGAUUGGUGCCUUCGGGAACUCUGAGACAGGUGCUGCAUGGCUGUCGUCAGCUCGUGUUGUGAAAUGUUGGGUUAAGUCCCGUAACGAGCGCAACCCUUGUCCUUAUUUGCCAGCACUUCGGGUGGGAACUCUAAGGAGACUGCCGGUGACAAACCGGAGGAAGGUGGGGACGACGUCAAGUCAUCAUGGCCCUUACGAGUAGGGCUACACACGUGCUACAAUGGCCGGUACAGAGGGCUGCAAACCUGCGAGGGUGAGCUAAUCUCACAAAACCGGUCGUAGUCCGGAUUGGAGUCUGCAACUCGACUCCAUGAAGUCGGAAUCGCUAGUAAUCG